UUGUGCAUGAAUACAAUGGAAAAUUUUAAUUAGAAAAUUAGAAGUAUUAGUAAAAAAAUGGAUAUGAGUGAGAGAAUUAUAAUACUGAGGUUUAAGAACAAAUCUUUGGAGUUUAGAUUUGUCUGAAGAGGUAUAGAGAGAAUGACAAUAAAUUUGGAGGAUUUUAGUGAUUGGAUCAUAGAGUGAUUGUAUGCUAUCUUUUAAGAUAGUAUUGUAUUAC
rnacentral:lncRNA from 1 species